ACGGGAGGCAGCAGUGAGGAAUAUUGGUCAAUGGACGGAAGUCUGAACCAGCCAAGUAGCGUGCAGGAUGACGGCCCUAUGGGUUGUAAACUGCUUUUGUUGGGGAAUAAAAGUCGGGACGUGUCCCGUUUUGCAUGUACCCUUCGAAUAAGGACCGGCUAAUUCCGUGCAGCAGCCGCGGUAAUACGGAAGGUCCGGGCGUUAUCCGGAUUUAUUGGGUUUAAAGGGAGCGUAGGCCGAAUGCUAAGCGUGUUGUGAAAUGUAGAGGCUCAACCUCUGCACUGCAGCGCGAACUGGCAAUCUUGAGUGCGCGGGAAGUUGGCGGAAUUCGUCGUGUAGCGGUGAAAUGCUUAGAUAUGACGAAGAACUCCGAUUGCGAAGGCAGCUGACUGUAGCGUAACUGACGCUGAAGCUCGAAAGUGCGGGUAUCGAACAGGAUUAGAUACCCUGGUA
rnacentral:rRNA from 1 species